GCUGAUUUGCUGACGAGUGGCGGACGGGUGAGUAAUGUCUGGGAAACUGCCUGAUGGAGGGGGAUAACUACUGGAAACGGUAGCUAAUACCGCAUAACGUCGCAAGACCAAAGAGGGGGACCUUCGGGCCUCUUGCCAUCGGAUGUGCCCAGAUGGGAUUAGCUAGUAGGUGGGGUAACGGCUCACCUAGGCGACGAUCCCUAGCUGGUCUGAGAGGAUGACCAGCCACACUGGAACUGAGACACGGUCCAGACUCCUACGGGAGGCAGCAGUGGGGAAUAUUGCACAAUGGGCGCAAGCCUGAUGCAGCCAUGCCGCGUGUAUGAAGAAGGCCUUCGGGUUGUAAAGUACUUUCAGCGGGGAGGAAGGGAGUAAAGUUAAUACCUUUGCUCAUUGACGUUACCCGCAGAAGAAGCACCGGCUAACUCCGUGCCAGCAGCCGCGGUAAUACGGAGGGUGCAAGCGUUAAUCGGAAUUACUGGGCGUAAAGCGCACGCAGGCGGUUUGUUAAGUCAGAUGUGAAAUCCCCGGGCUCAACCUGGGAACUGCAUCUGAUACUGGCAAGCUUGAGUCUCGUAGAGGGGGGUAGAAUUCCAGGUGUAGCGGUGAAAUGCGUAGAGAUCUGGAGGAAUACCGGUGGCGAAGGCGGCCCCCUGGACGAAGACUGACGCUCAGGUGCGAAAGCGUGGGGAGCAAACAGGAUUAGAUACCCUGGUAGUCCACGCCGUAAACGAUGUCGACUUGGAGGUUGUGCCCUUGAGGCGUGGCUUCCGGAGCUAACGCGUUAAGUCGACCGCCUGGGGAGUACGGCCGCAAGGUUAAAACUCAAAUGAAUUGACGGGGGCCCGCACAAGCGGUGGAGCAUGUGGUUUAAUUCGAUGCAACGCGAAGAACCUUACCUGGUCUUGACAUCCACGGAAGUUUUCAGAGAUGAGAAUGUGCCUUCGGGAACCGUGAGACAGGUGCUGCAUGGCUGUCGUCAGCUCGUGUUGUGAAAUGUUGGGUUAAGUCCCGCAACGAGCGCAACCCUUAUCCUUUGUUGCCAGCGGUCCGGCCGGGAACUCAAAGGAGACUGCCAGUGAUAAACUGGAGGAAGGUGGGGAUGACGUCAAGUCAUCAUGGCCC
rnacentral:rRNA from 1 species